GACGAACGCUGGCGGCGUGCCUAAUACAUGCAAGUCGAACGAACGGAUAAAGAGCUUGCUCUUUUGAAGUUAGUGGCGGACGGGUGAGUAACACGUGGGUAACCUGCCUCACAGCUGGGGAUAACAUCGAGAAAUCGAUGCUAAUACCGAAUGUGCUGAACAUCAUAAGAUGUUCAAGUGAAAGACGGUUUCGGCUGUCAUUGUGAGAUGGACCCGCGCUGGAUUAGCUAGUUGGUAAGGUAAUGGCUUACCAAGGCGACGAUCCAUAGCCGACCUGAGAGGGUGAUCGGCCACAUUGGGACUGAAACACGGCCCAAACUCCUACGGGAGGCAGCAGUAGGGAAUCUUCCGCAAUGGACGAAAGUCUGACCGAGCAACGCCCCGUGAGCGAAGAAAGCCUUCCGGUCGUAAAGCUCUGUUGUUAGAGAAGAACAUGGGUGAGAGUAACUGUUCACCCCUUGACGGUAUCUAACCAGAAAGCCACGGCUAACUACGUGCCAGCAGCCGCGGUAAUACGUAAGUGGCAAGCGUUGUCCGGAAUUAUUGGGCGUAAAGCGCGCGCAGGCGGUCUCUUAAGUCUGAUGUGAAAGCCCCCGGCUCAACCGGGGGAAGGUCAUUGGAAACGGGGAGACUUGAGGACAGAGCGACGAGAGUGUAAGUUCCAGUGUAGCGAGGAGAUGCGGAGAUAGUUGUAGGAACACCAGUGGCGAAGGCGGCUGUCUGGUCUGUUACUGACGCUGAGGCGGGAAAGCGUGGGGAGCAAAGAGGAUUAGAUACCCUGGUGGUCCACCCCGUUAAACUAUGAGUGCUAAGUGUUAGGGGGUUUCCGCCCCUUAUUGCUGCAGUUAACGCAGUAAGCACUCCGCCUGGGGAGUACGACCGCGAGGUUGAAACUCAAAGGAAUUGACGGGGGCCCGCACAAGCGGUGGAGCAUGUGGUUUAAUUCGAAGCAACGCGAAGAACCUUACCAGGUCUUGACAUCCUUUGACCAUUCUGGAGACAGAACUUUCCCUUCGGGGACAAAGUGACAGGUGGUGCAUGGUUGUCGUCAGCUCGUGUCGUGAGAUGUUGGGUUAAGUCCCGCAACGAGCGCAACCCUUGAUUUUAGUUGCCAGCAUUUAGUUGGGCACUCUAAAGUGACUGCCGGUGUAAGCCGGAGGAAGGUGGGGAUGACGUCAAAUCAUCAUGCCCCUUAUGACCUGGGCUACACACGUGCUACAAUGGAUAAUACAAAGGGUCGCGAAGCCGCGAGGUGGAGCCAAUCCCAUAAAAUUAUUCUCAGUUCGGAUUGCAGGCUGCAACUCGCCUGCAUGAAGCCGGAAUCGCUAGUAAUCGUAGAUCAGCAUGCUACGGUGAAUACGUUCCCGGGCCU
rnacentral:rRNA from 1 species